AUUGAACGCUGGCGGCAUGCUUUACACAUGCAAGUCGAACGGCAGCGCGGGCUUCGGCCUGGCGGCGAGUGGCGAACGGGUGAGUAAUACAUCGGAACGUGCCCAGUAGUGGGGGAUAGCUCGGCGAAAGCCGGAUUAAUACCGCAUACGACCUGAGGGUGAAAGCGGGGGAUCUUCGGACCUCGCGCUAUUGGAGCGGCCGAUGGCAGAUUAGCUAGUUGGUGGGGUAAAGGCCUACCAAGGCGACGAUCUGUAGCUGGUCUGAGAGGACGACCAGCCACACUGGGACUGAGACACGGCCCAGAUUCCUACGGGAGGCAGCAGUGGGGAAUUUUGGACAAUGGGCGAAAGCCUGAUCCAGCAAUGCCGCGUGUGUGAUGAAGGCCUUCGGGUUGUAAAGCACUUUUGGCGGGAACGAAAAGGACUGUGCCAAUACCAUGGUUCGAUGACGGUACCCGCAGAAUAAGCACCGGCUAACUACGUG
rnacentral:rRNA from 1 species